UACAGAGGUCUCAAGCGUUGUUCGGAUUCAUUGGGCGUAAAGGGUGCGUAGGUGGCGCCGUAAGUCGGGUGUGAAAUUUCGGAGCUUAACUCCGAAACUGCAUUCGAUACUGCGGUGCUUGAGGACUGGAGAGGAGACUGGAAUUCAUGGUGUAGCAGUGAAAUGCGUUGAUAUCAUCAGGAACACCGGAGGCGAAGGCGGCUCACUGGGGGUCUUCUGACGCUGAGGAACGAAAGCCAGGGGAGCGAACGGG
rnacentral:rRNA from 1 species